rnacentral:rRNA from 1 species
GAUGAACGCUAGCGGCAGGCUUAAUACAUGCAAGUCGAGGGGCAGCAUGAUUGUAGCAAUACAAUUGAUGGCGACCGGCAAACGGGUGCGGAACACGUACACAACCUUCCAAUAAGUGGGGAAUAGCCCAGAGAAAUUUGGAUUAAUACCCCGUAACAUAACGAUGUGGCAUCACAUUGUUAUUAUAGAUUUUUCGCUUAUUGAUGGGUGUGCGGCUGAUUAGAUAGUUGGCGGGGUAACGGCCCACCAAGUCUAUGAUCAGUAGCUGAUGUGAGAGCAUGAUCAGCCACACGGGCACUGAGACACGGGCCCGACUCCUACGGGAGGCAGCAGUAAGGAAUAUUGGACAAUGGACGCAAGUCUGAUCCAGCCAUGCCGCGUGAAGGAUUAAGGUCCUCUGGAUUGUAAACUUCUUUUAUAAGGGACGAAAAAAGGCUUUUCUAAGUCGUCUGACGGUACCUUAUGAAUAAGCACCGGCUAACUUCGUGCCAGCAGCCGCCGUAACAC